CUGUCAACGUCAAGACAAAAUUAAACGAAAAUAUUAAAAAUUUAACUGAAAAAUUACUGGCAUGGUACGACCUUACUGCGAUGAAUGUGAAUCCUUGGUGGACCUGGAACCUUUUUAUACCCAUCGCAGGAAUUUGGAUGCCGACGACUCACGAACAUCCUCGGAACCAAUCGUUGAAUAAAAAUGCAAUCGGGAGUUUUUCCUCAUGAAAAAGGUGAAAACAGCGGGACAAAAGCUGGCCACAUGUGUACAAGAAAACCGGCUUUUCAGGAAAACCGCGGAAAACGGAAACAUAAUUUAUAUUAUAUUUUGCCACACCAGACAUGCCCCUUCAUUUAACAGAGCUUCCCAAGUUUUAGGCAUUUGUGGUUCUUUAUUAUCCUAAGAAUAACCAGGGUUGAAAACAAUAAGGCCAGAGACUACAACAUAGUCAACGGAAAACUAGGCAUAACCUAUAAGAAAUCGAAUCUUUCCAGAAUACUAUUAGGCUAGAAACCUCUUUAAGUUGGUUUCUUUAUAUAUAUUUACAAUUAUAAACCCCUCAUGACUCACAGGUAAAGCUUAAAAUGUAUCUUUUUGUUAUGUAAAUUAUAAAUUUAGAGGUUAAAAUGUUAACGGAGCAAAAUUAUCUAAGUUGUCUUAUAAAACACUGCCUGGGCUUACCCUUAUUGCUAUAAAAUCAAGACAAAAUCUUGUAACUUCGUUACAACAUUGAAAGGCCUUUCAAUGUUCUAAGUAAUGCAAUAAUUGAACUCUUUCAAAUCUCUCUUAUAAGAUUUAAAUGUUAAAAGCUAAGAUAAACCCUUUCACUUUAAAACGAAGACUUUGCGAUUGCAAAUAAUUAAUAGAACGAUCAUCAUUCAAGUCUGAACUAGAUGUUUCUUAAGUUAUUUUUCAUUUGCCUGUGGUUAAAUGAGCAUCGUAAAAUUUUAUUGCGUUUAUUCACGAGUAUGUUGAGGUCCGUUAGGCAAGUGCAAGCAGCGUUAAAUUAAAAGUCAUCAGGAUCCUUGGUAAUUGCUCUUAGUUCGGAACUGCUGAGAUAAAGAGCAGCUUAGACAUUUUGAGAUUAGGAACGAGAGUUACUUUGGAAGAUAAUGUAAUAAUAUUUUUGUCUUAAGUUACCAUUGU